rnacentral:rRNA from 1 species
AUUGAACGCUGGCGGCAUGCUUUACACAUGCAAGUCGAACGGCAGCGCGGGCUUCGGCCUGGCGGCGAGUGGCGAACGGGUGAGUAAUGCAUCGGAACGUGCCCAGUAGUGGGGGAUAGCCCGGCGAAAGCCGGAUUAAUACCGCAUACGACCUGAGGGUGAAAGCGGGGGACCGAAAGGCCUCGCGCUAUUGGAGCAGCCGAUGUCGGAUUAGCUAGUUGGUGGGGUAAAGGCUUACCAAGGCGACGAUCCGUAGCUGGUCUGAGAGGACGACCAGCCACACUGGGACUGAGACACGGCCCAGACUCCUACGGGAGGCAGCAGCGGGGAAUUUUGGACAAUGGGGGCAACCCUGAUCCAGCCAUGCCGCGUGCGGGAAGAAGGCCUUCGGGUUGUAAACCGCUUUUGUUCGGGAAGAAAUCCUCUGGGCUAAUACCCCGGGGGGAUGACGGUACCGGAAGAAUAAGCACCGGCUAACUACGUG